rnacentral:misc_RNA from 1 species
AACGCACGAGACCUGCGGACCUGCGGAGGGAUCAUUAUUGUUUACGUCCUUUCACACCAUAAACAACUUUCUUGUGAACUUGAAAAUCCCUGGAGGGGGAGGGAGGAAGCGAAAGCAACCAACCAACCUCGUCAAAUGGGUGGUCUGUGCUAGGGGAGCAUGGUAUCACACCAAACUGGUUCAAGAGUGGUUUUGGUUCUUCUAUUUGUUGAUGAACCAAUCAAUCACACCUUUUACUGG